CCCAGGGGCUCCCCUGGUGUCUCUGCACAUCCACAGUGAUGUGCUGAGAUCCCACAGCUGAGUGUUCCUGAUUACCCAGAGUUGUUCUUCAUGUGUACUGCCAUGCAAUAAUGAAAUAUUCUCCAGCAGAGGCUCCAAACCUGCCUGCCAGCUACUGAGAGAAUUGUCCAAACACUCCUUGAACUCAGGCUUGGUGCCUUAACCACUUCCCUGGGAACCUGUUCCAGUCCCCAGCCACCCUCUGGGUGUAGAAACUUCUCCUGAAAUCCAGCAUAAACCUCCCGUGAUACAACUUCAUGCCAUUUCCUUGGUUCUGUCACUGAUUACCAGAAAGAAGAGAUCAGUGCCUGCCCCUCCUCUUCCCCUAAUGAGGAAGCUGUAGACUGAUAAGGUUUCAGUGUUUCUUCUUUUGCUUUUUCUUAUUAGGAGGACUCAUUGUGUCCAUCACUUUUCCUUCACAGACUGUGUCCACACUUGGACUUCUCAUCCUUUUUUUCUUUUGUUACACUGUGUCUCACUGCAUGCUAGAUACCCUGAAAGGCUGUAUUCAUCUGUUUAACAGUCACUGGUUUAUGAUAGUUUUGUCAAGGUCAUUUUCUCUCACUAGACUUGCAAGCUCCUAAAACUGUCCAUAGCAAGUUUUGUACUUCCUUUAUGCAGCAGAUUUUUCACUUUUUAUCCUACUGUUUUCUCCAGAAGUGGCCCAGUGAUCUGCUACUUUAUCAGUUUCUUGAUCUGCUGCUUUUUUCAGAGCAGUAGCAUCUGCUGUGGUGUCCCCUCUGGCUCUACAGACCUCUCCAUUCAGUAAAAGAUUUUAUUCUGUUCAAUAGAUUGCUAUAAACUGUGACAGGCAGCCUGAACCCUCCUCUGCAGAGCAACUAACAGUUCUUUUCAACAAUCUUACAAAAAGCAGAACCUUUCCAAUAUUUACUAUGCUUACUGCCUCUUCUAUAAUAUUGAUUGCUGUCUCUGCUUCUUUAUCUCCUUUUGCCUUUUUCUUUACUACACAAUCCUGAUCUGCUUACUUCUCUGAAUGUAGUGCUCUUAUGACUCAAAGAGCCAGAGGCUGUCUGUAGAGAACGCAGAGAAUGCAGAAUCACAGCAUGGUUGUGGUUAGAAUGGAUUUGGCAUUGGUGCAAGAGGACUAGGUCAGGGGACACCUCAGCAAACUAGAAAUAAUUAAGUCCAUGGGCCCUGAUGGGAUGCAUCCAUGAAAUACUGGUGUUGAGGAAGUUGGCAGAUGUGACUGUGAGGCCCCUCUCAGCAACCUUUGACCAAUGGCAGCAACUGUGGGGACUGCCCAAAAACUGGAGAAAGCAAAUGUCACUCCUAUCUUCCAGAAGGGCUACAGCCCUCUCCUACCUUUUUCUGUUACUUUGAAUGUUUUAUAUUCCUUGCAGAAUUAAGAACAGAGUUAUGUUCAUGCAAGAGGCUCUCUAGAUGUGAUUUGCAAGGUUUUUCAGAUGAUGCAAUAAAUAAUUUCCCAUUUUAGUCUAUGACAGAUAAAGGCAUAUGAUUCUUGUGAAAGUUAAAUGUCAUUUUGACCAGUUCUGCUAUUAAGGUAUUCUGUUCCCUGUUGAAACUCAGUAAAGACAGCAGUGCAAAACAUUUUUGAUAUAUUCAUCGGAGCAUGAAUAAUAUUUUUUGAUAAUGAUAUGUAGAGGGUUAUGUCUGUAAUAUAAAACCUCAAAAUUAGUUAGCAAAAAUCCAAUAUUAGAUAUCUAUUAUGUAAACAUUGAUGUAAUUGAAUGCAACGCCCUGUAUUCUUGAUAGUUUUCUUAGCACUAUGACUUUACAGACCAAAGCUAUUAUGACGUAACCUUUAUUUAGGGGAGAUAUUUUCACUGUUAUGUUCUGUAUAAUUACCUAGGUUGUUACCUCCACACUUGCAGUAUUUAUGAAAUAGCACAUUGACUUUUUGUAUGGCACUUCUGAAAUUAUUUAUUUUGCUUUGAAGUGGCCUCCUGGUAAAUUGAAGAGCUGGGAUAUAUUGGCUGUGUGUCAGAGGGGAGAGAGUUGUGUUUCUAGGUUUACCUUGUAAACAUGAAAAAAAAUUAUUCUGGUGGUAACGUUUCUACGUUCUACGUUUGUAUUGUUUUGUGUGCCUUGGUAAAAGAUGACAAAUACCUCUCAUUAAAAACAUUUUGGCAUUCUGCAGUUCAUGGCAUUACAUGGGUAGAUGGAUGGGCAUAUCCAAGAGAAGUUCAUUGUAGCUCUCUUAAAGAGCUCAUAUAUAGUGUAGAAAAACUAAAUAGUCCUAAGGUAACCUUAAAUUUAAGAUAAACUAUCUUGAACUAUAAAAAACAGAUUUACAAAGAGAGCUUCAGAAAAACAAAGGUAACAGUUUUACAACCUCUGCACAUGAUAUGUCAGAAUUAAUACUCAAAUCAUAUUGUACUGAACACGGUUGUCUUGCAUUUUAUUUAAUGGAGACUAAUGAGAAGGGAUGAUUGUGUCAAAUAAAAACUGCUCAGUUGUUCAGGUGUUUCACUUAGAUAACAGAUUUUUACUCAGUGAUAUUUUGUAAAUUUUGGGGAGACCUCACCUUGAUGCUGAUCUCCUGAGCACUAUCAGAAUACAAUAUUGCUUUUUACACUGGUAAUUUUUGUUCUGCAUUUCUGUGUGUGUAACACAAGCAAUACAUUCCUUUUGGCAGUAUUAAUGGAUAAAAUGGAUCCAUGGUAAUCACGGGGUAAGAGGCAGAUAAAUACAUAACUGUUAAGUUCCCUUAGUUCAAUAAGGAGCUUUCUUUAUUUUCUUUAGCCUUCCACUACUUCCAACUGCAGGUUUAAAAUCUGAGUAUUAAUUUAAAGAAGGAUUUUAUUUCUUGUAGUUUAUAUCAUUGAAAGAAGAGUUCUUAGAAAAAUAACCUAAAUGAAAGAUUUUCUUUGCCUUCUUAUAUUUCAGUAAGAACAUUAUACAAGCCAUGCAAAUACAGGAGAAAUUAAUAAUUGAAGCAAAUGCAACUGAAGGAUGAUUUAUGUAUAUUUGCAUUUCUGCUUUAUUUAUAAAGAAGAAAUUUAAAAUAAAAGCAAGCUGUACAUUCAUCAGAACUAGAAUUAGUAACCAAGAAUGCCAGGUUCUCUUUUAGAUCAGUUAUUCAUUUUUCAAAAAAUACUCCACACCCUAUAUUUGGCUUAAGGCACAAAAGUUGAAUGGAGAUUGCUAGUUUAGGUGACUGGGUUGCCUUCCUAAUAAAAAAAAAAAUUCUUUUGGUUCUUCUAUUUAUAAAACCUUUUCUGUUCAUUUUAUUUCUUUUUUUUUCUUAUUUUCCAAUUUAAAACAUUAUCAGUAGCAAUGAAAUAAGGAGAGCUUAAAAAAUGAAUCAUGUUAUUUUUCAAGUAUCAAUAUCAAAGAAAUAUCAAAGAAAAUUCUUGGUUUGCUUUCUCAUUGGAAAAUCAAUUUUAGUCAAAGAGGAAAGAGACCUCACCUCUUGGACAUAAAGUGACAGCAGUAUCUGGAACAAGGAAAGCAUAGUUGAUAUUUUAGAAAAGUAGGAGAUGCAAGGUGGCAAAGAUUCUUUCAUCUGUGGUUUCCAUGUUCAAGGGAAAAUAAUUUACUGCAAAAGUUAGAAGGCUUUGAUUCCUUCUUAAUGAGAAAAAAAUGUCAGGUUCUAGUAGUGUAACAGUACAAAAACAGUAUUAAAAGUUUGUGGUAACUUGGAUUGCAGCUGUCUACAUCUAUUAGCUAAAUAGCACAUGCUUCAAUAAAGAUCUACUACAUGUAUGUAAUAAAACUGGAUAACUAAUUGCCGUAGGUUCAUGUGUUGUCACACACAGCAAGCCAGGUAAAAAGUCACCACAGUUGUUGCCUUGCGUAAAAGCAAAAUUUCCUUUUUGUACAGAAUUUACACAGCGGUGUGGUUGUGUUUGGUAUUUCUCAAAGAUUAUGAAACAGUCCUGCAGCCCCUAAGCUACUGCUUCACUUAUUUGUGUAUAUGCAUGUGAUUACUUCUGCUGUUUUUUCCUGUCUCCUUUUCUCUCACCUCCUUUAUGUCUGUUGUCAGAGAGAAAUAUGUGUGAACUCCUUUCUGGCCUGGAAUGUUCUUCCACCUCUCUUUGCUGCCCUGUCUCACUUUCUACUUCUAUAUAAUGUUUUCCACUUUCCUACUAUUAAAAAUACAACAUUUUAUACCCUCAGGUUCUGUAAAUUUACUUCUUGCCUGCUCCCUGUAGGGGGCCACAGUGUGAGUUUUUAACAUUUAAAAACUGUGGUUCAUAAGAGUUUUAAACUUAUUAUACUGCAAUGCUAUCUGCACUCCACUAAAUCAGGAUCCAUGAUGCCAUUGGCUGUCCAUGUCUAGGCAACAAUGUAUAAUUCCAAAAUAAUUUAAGGAGAAAUAAGGAGAUGAGGGGAUAUGAAAAAAAUUUAAUAAAGCAUAAUGUAACUAAUUAGAUGUCAACUAUGUAACACUGACUAUGCAAUUAAGUACUUAUUCCGGCAUCAAGAAUGUCCUGGGAACUGAAAACAAUGUAAAGUGUUGGUCAGUGGAGUCAGUAGUUGCUAGAAAUCUUGUUCAAGACACGUGUUAAAUUGCUAUUCAUGCAGUUACACAUCUCUGUUCUUGCUCCUUCUCAUCUGUAUUCUAAUUUUGAUAGACAUUGCCUCUCUUUCUCUCUGACCAGCUGACAGUAGGGGGUGGAACUUUCUUUGCUGCAAACUUUUUUCACAGCUGCCUUUGAUCCUUCUGCUCCACAAUGUCAGGAGGAAUCUGAGCUCACCUUUCUCUAAUCACCAGGGCUAAGGCAGCAAAACUUUCUGUCCCUGCACCUCACCAUUAGCUCUCACUGUGAAGAAAAUAGCCUUCCUCCUGCACCACUUCUCAGGUCACAAAUGCCAGCUCCCUAUCCAUCCAAACAUAUCCUAGAUUUUAUAGGAUAUUUUUGCUUUUACUAUGCAUAAACCCUGGACUAAUUUUUUUUUCUAAUUUUUUCUAAUUUGUUUAUUUCUGUUUUGUUUGUUUGUAUGUUCUUUUCUUUAAGAUGCUGUAAAAAAAUCACAUAUGUCUACAAAAAUAUUCAACCUAUUGCUUCACCACAGCUGUGCAAAUUUUUUUUUACAUAGAUGAUGUCAGAGAGACAAUGUACUUGAGUAGUUGAGUACUGCUGUUGUGCUUUGUAGGAAUGAUACCCAGAAAUGUGAAUGUAAUUUUUUAUUCAUAUAUGCAUUUUUUAAUACCCUGAACUUCUAGAUUCUUCUCUUAACUGUUCAUGAAGGGUACAAGACUAUUAUUUUCUUACAAGCUAUGUUGCUUCAUAUGUCUAGUUUAGUGACAGGUGAUAGUGACCUCAAUGACUGUUAAACUACAUCCAAAGUAUGAGGUUUUGGACUAUAUCUGAGCCCCAGAGGUUCCUUAUCAGUAAAAAGGUACAUGCUUGGUGCUUUGAGGGAGAUAUUACACAGAAAUCUGUUAGAUAAGUAAGUAGUGCAGAUAAGAUUUCCAUUCAAUGUUAAACUGGUCACAUAUUUUACUAAAAGCUACUGUUAUGGAAAUAGUUGCUUGAAGAGGUACAUUUGUAUUUUUCCUUGAAUGGAAGAAUAAAUUCAGGGCCUCUUACAAAUUUUGUUCUCUGUGUCCAAGUUAGUCUCUGUAUUUCUGAGAGAGUCGCAAUUCCUUGUUCAUGGAGACAAAAGUAAUGCAGAAAUAUCACAAAAUAUUCCUGACAUUAAUUUUAAGCUUGUGCAGUUUCAGCCACAUUAAAGUGUCAUGUAAAUGUGACAGUUUUUAAGUGCUUAUCAAAAAUACCUUGUUCAUGAGAUACCAAAGCACUUGUCAGUUUUUCACAUUUGAACCAAUACUUUUGUAGAGUGUAGCAAAAAAAAAAAAAAGUAUGUUGGUCUGCACAGAUGACAAAAUUUAUGAUUAAAUGAUAAAAAUUAUAAUAUCCAAUGAAGGUGGAAAUUGUGGAAUUUACCAUACUUGUGAUCUGUAUAUAUUAUGCUUAUAUUUUUUCUAGAUUCAUUCUUCAGCAGCUUAUGUGUAGUUAUCAGUAAAGCCAUCUUGCUGUUUUUCCUUGCACAGAGUAUAUAGAUUAAUUGUGGUAUAGCAGGUUUUUCAGUCCUGUUUUGGUGUUAUGUCCCUUCCUUACAGUAUCAAGAGAACAGCCUUGCUCCAAAAUCUCUUUUCAAGCUGCUCUUUACAACCAAAGUAUAUUUAGAUGGAGCUACUGCCUUAAAAAGCUGUGUCAGCACACUCACUGAGUGUAACUCUUGCACUUAAUUGUGAGGUAGCUGUACAUUCGUUGAUUUUUGGGUUUGGUUUUUUUAUCAGUAGGCAUACUGAUACAUUUUUUUGUAACCCAAAAUGUCAAUACUACCUCUCGUUUUGCCUAACUAAAACCCCACAUAUUGUGUACAGAUAUGGUGGGUAAAUAAAUAUGCUUCUAGUCACACAGCCACACAGCCAAGAUUGAAGCUCUCCUGUUAGGUUUGUGUUGGGAGGAAUGGGUUAAAGCUUGGAAGACUGUUGAGAAGGAUUGUAAAUCAUUCAAGUGACCUUGCAGUUCGAAAUAACUCUUGAUAAGCCCCUGAGAACCACAGUCCAGUGAUCCUCUCGCAUGAACCAUCUCUGUUUGUGUGCCUUUGCCUGGCGCUCCUUUGGGGAUCCCCUCAUUAGCAAGGUAAACAGAAAUAAAUUUAUUGUUUUUGUUCUAACUGCAAGUUUGUAGCUGUUCUGGCUGCCUGCCUAUGUCAACUCAGUUUGAAACAACACCAAUAACAUCUGUAAAACUUAAGUAAUGUUAUACAAUUAAAUAAGUAUCUGUCCUGUUAGAAAUGAGGCAUAUGUCAUGCUUUAUAAAUACAUAAGUCAGGGUCCUAAUGUUGCAGUAAUUUAAAUCCUUCAUCUCUUUUUUUACUGCAUGGAUUUCAGGUGUUUGUGCACGUUGAAUUUGUGAUGUUAUUUGCCAUCAAGUCUUAUAAAGUCCUGGCACAAUUCUUCUGGCAGAACACAUCCUUACUGGCCUGUCUAACUUAGCAUCAGCAGCAAAGUUGCUCAUCUCAGUCUUCACAGGGUUCCCUUUUUUUCACAAGGUUACAUUUAGGAACGUACUGGAUACCCCAGGUCCCAGCACUGAUCUCUGCAGACUUGCAGUGGCAAGUUUCCUCCAUUCCAGGAGUUAACCAUUAACUCAUACUCCCUUCUCCAGUUUCCUUCCCAUCUGUUAAUUAUUUAUCAAACAUUAAGACUGAAGUUCUUAUUUUUGGGUUAAGCCUUCUUUUAAGGUUUAAGGUUUCUUUCAAAAUAAGUCUGCUUCAGGAGACUUGGUGAGAAGCCUUUUGGAAAUCCUGUAGACUCUAUUAACUAGAUCCUCAUUGCUUACUGAUCCUUUUAAAGGCUUUAAAAGCUUUUCCCUGCCAUAAUAAACAAAGCCAAAGUUUGCAGUACAUUUUAAAAAUGUGUAUGAUGAGGCAAGUACCAGGUGAUUAGUGUGUAUGGUAUGUAAUCCAAAAAACAGUGUUUAGACAUCGGGGUCACUAAGCUAUGUUAAUUAUUCCUAAUAAAAGGCUUUAUAUCUUAACCAAGGCUUUACCACCUGAAUUAAUUAAUUUUUCAAGGCAUGUAAUGAUAACUGUGAUAAAUACAUAGCUUAUGGACCGUAGGGGCUUCUUAUUAUUUGGAGGCAAUCUUUAAAUAUCUUAUGCAAAUGUGAGAAACACUUCAAAUAUAUAUAUCAACUUUGGUAUCCAAAAUAAUACAAACAUAAACAGGACCACUUAACUAAGCAUAUGAAAUAAUUAUUUUCCAGUGUCUUUAAUUCUAAAAGACAUCUACCCAAUAUGGUACUGGUGAUUAUUUUUCUUAGGUCAAAUUUCUUUUAUGCAAGGUAUUAGGAAGAUCCUACUGUAAAGGUAUUUUGGGAGGUAAGCUUAGAAUUUAUUUUUUAAGUAACACCUUCUUUUUUGCUAAAUUAAGGAAUAACUCUUUAUUUUUAACACAUUUUUAUUUACUUUGCAUUUGUACAGUUUGUUUCCAGAGUCCACGAUUGUUAUGUAGUGAGCAUUUGAAGGUUUUAUUAAAAUUUAUACCUUUAAAACGAUCACUGUUUGGAAUUUUAAACCUUGUAAAAGAAGAGACUGAAGCAUACCAUAGACAAGUUGAUAGCCCAUACUGACAAUGUAAAUAAAACUCCUACUGCAUCAA